AGAGUCUGAUCAUGGCUCAGGAUGAACGCUAGCUACAGGCUUAACACAUGCAAGUCGAGGGGCAGCAUGGUCUUAGCUUGCUAAGGCCGAUGGCGACCGGCGCACGGGUGAGUAACACGUAUCCAACCUGCCGUCUACUCUUGGACAGCCUUCUGAAAGGAAGAUUAAUACAAGAUGGCAUCAUGAGUCCGCAUGUUCACAUGAUUAAAGGUAUUCCGGUAGACGAUGGGGAUGCGUUCCAUUAGAUAGUAGGCGGGGUAACGGCCCACCUAGUCUUCGAUGGAUAGGGGUUCUGAGAGGAAGGUCCCCCACAUUGGAACUGAGACACGGUCCAAACUCCUACGGGAGGCAGCAGUGAGGAAUAUUGGCCAAUGGGCGAGAGCCUGAACCAGCCAAGUAGCGUGAAGGAUGACUGCCCUAUGGGUUGUAAACUUCUUUUAUAAAGGAAUAAAGUCGGGUAUGCAUACCCGUUUGCAUGUACUUUAUGAAUAAGGAUCGGCUAACUCCGUGCCAGCAGCCGCGGUAAUACGGAGGAUCCGAGCGUUAUCCGGAUUUAUUGGGUUUAAAGGGAGCGUAGAUGGAUGUUUAAGUCAGUUGUGAAAGUUUGCGGCUCAACCGUAAAAUUGCAGUUGAUACUGGAUAUCUUGAGUGCAGUUGAGGCAGGCGGAAUUCGUGGUGUAGCGGUGAAAUGCUUAGAUAUCACGAAGAACUCCGAUUGCGAAGGCAGCCUGCUAAGCUGCAACUGACAUUGAGGCUCGAAAGUGUGGGUAUCAAACAGGAUUAGAUACCCUGGUAGUCCACACGGUAAACGAUGAAUACUCGCUGUUUGCGAUAUACAGCAAGCAGCCAAGCGAAAGCGUUAAGUAUUCCACCUGGGGAGUACGCCGGCAACGGUGAAACUCAAAGGAAUUGACGGGGGCCCGCACAAGCGGAGGAACAUGUGGUUUAAUUCGAUGAUACGCGAGGAACCUUACCCGGGCUUAAAUUGCAGAUGAAUUACGGUGAAAGCCGUAAGCCGCAAGGCAUCUGUGAAGGUGCUGCAUGGUUGUCGUCAGCUCGUGCCGUGAGGUGUCGGCUUAAGUGCCAUAACGAGCGCAACCCUUGUUGUCAGUUACUAACAGGUUCUGCUGAGGACUCUGACAAGACUGCCAUCGUAAGAUGUGAGGAAGGUGGGGAUGACGUCAAAUCAGCACGGCCCUUACGUCCGGGGCUACACACGUGUUACAAUGGGGGGUACAGAGGGCCGCUACCACGCGAGUGGAUGCCAAUCCCCAAAACCUCUCUCAGUUCGGACUGGAGUCUGCAACCCGACUCCACGAAGCUGGAUUCGCUAGUAAUCGCGCAUCAGCCACGGCGCGGUGAAUACGUUCCCGGGCCUUGUACACACCGCCCGUCAAGCCAUGGGAGCCGGGGGUACCUGAAGUGCGUAACCGCGAGGAGCGCCCUAGGGUAAAACUGGUGACUGGGGCUAAGUCGUAACAAGGUA
rnacentral:rRNA from 1 species